AAUCAAAAUUAAAUUAAUUUUUUUUUGUUUCUAAUGGCUAUUAUUAGAAGGGCGCUUACAUUUGAACGAAAUCCUUGUAAAUGACACCAGCAAAUUGAUUUAUAGCUACCAAUUCCCCUAAUCCUUUUUAGAAUUAGGGAAUUGUUUCAUAAAAUUUCGGAAGGUACUAUAACGUCUUAUUAUUUUUUAUAUGGGUCAUACACAUACAUAAGUUCAGGGUGUAUGUUGUUUAAAAAGAAUGGAUUUUAUUCAAAUUAAAUUAUAUCGGGACAUGAAUUACAGUUACCAUUUUAAAUACAAAUGAUAAUCAAGCAAAAAAUUAUUAAAUUACCUGUGUAACUUAUUUUUUAGUUUCCUAUUAUCCCUUUCUGUGGACUGUUCGCAAAGGCAGUUGCUACAUUUCGAUAUCAUUUAUUGUUGUUUGGUGAGAGUUAUCGUAUAAUAAAAUGCAAAUAUAUCUUUAGUAUAUAUGUCAAAUAUUUAAAAAUAUGCAUAUAAUUAUUAUAAAUAGAUUAAUUUAUAAUAAAAUUUUAAAUAAACAUUUAGUUACACGCAACCGCAUCACUUCUGUGGACUUAAAAUUUCGCCAAAAAAAUCAAUAUCUACUAAAAGUACUACUCACCACAUUUUUUUUAUACUGGCCACAUUAUAAAGCUAGCAUUGGCCAUUUUGGAUACAGCUACUGAGCGUUGGCGAUCGUUCGGAAUAUUUUUUAUAAAUUCAGUGGUGAUUUCGUAAAAGAUCGGUAGAACUUUUCUGUUCCUGAUAUAUUUCGGUAAGUAAUUAUUGAUUUCAACAAUUAUCACGUAGCCGUAUGGCCGUUCAUGGAGUAAUUUCGGAAAUGUUUUUGUCUUAUUUUCUAACCUUAAAAACUAAAAGAGCAUUGUGAUUUUUUUAUUGAAUGUCCUUUCUGUGGACCCCUUUUAUGUGGACUUGAAUGUCCACGCGAAAGACAAUGUCUGCAGAAAAUAUCACAUUAUUGAUUUCAAAACUAAAACACUGUCUUACUUAUCUCUUAACUAGAUGACGUUGACUCCUUUGGUCGUGCAUGCUAUUAAAUCUACAUAACAUGAAUUUUAAAAGAGGUUGUCUUGUAUUUUGGCCAAUGCCUACACGAAAGAAAGUGUCCACAGAAAAUCGUUCUUAAGUUUUCCAACUGAUUCAGCAGCUUGUUUGUAAACGUGAACAAUGUGCAUUGUGUAUCAUCGGUAGCUGAUUUAUAUCCCCUGCUAGACCUCUGCUCCAAGACACGCUUCUUGCGUAUAAACUAAAAGGGUUUGGCUUAUUUGUAUCUAUUGCAUGGUAUGGUAGGUAGAAGUAAAUAUAGUUUAAUUUGUUCCAGCUACAUGAUGCCACGUUCAAGUAGAUCUAGGUUACAACUGAGUGAAGAACAAAAGAAAAAACGUAGGCGUGAGCAAAAAAAACUAAGUAUGCGCAGAGCUAGAUCAAAGUUAGAUUCUGUUGCUCUUGAAGAAAGACGCAAAAAGGACCGAGAAAGGUAUCAUCGUAAAAAAGAAGAGGGGCUGAUUAAGACCAUUAAAGACUUGAAACCCCGAGACCAGCGACAAUUACGGAAAAUGUGGCGAGAGAAAGCAAAACUUAGACGUGAGAAAGAGAAAAUAAAAAGAACGACUGAGCAAAUGUUACACGAAAAUACACCCCCUUCAAGUCCACAACCAUCAUCUUCACCACAACAAUCAUCUUUUUCACGAAUUCGGUCAGGAAAAGCAGUAGGUGCACGGAAUAAACGAAGAUUGAAGGCUAAAAAUGAAUAUUUAAUAAAUAGAUUAAUUGUUUUAGAACGAAAGCUAGCUAAAUACAGAAUGCGUCUACACAGAAUUAAAAAAGGACAGAAACGAGGUAACACUGUACUAGUCAAACGAAAAAUACAUGACUUUUUUAUUGACGAUGAGCAUAGCAGACUCACAGCAGGCAAAAAAGAGACUAUCACACGACGUAAAGUAAAAAAGCAAAUACGUCUGUUGAAUGACACAAUUCUCAAUCUACACAAGAUAUUUAACAAUAAGACGGGUUUAAACAUAUCAUAUGAGACAUUUCGUAGACAUCGUCCUUUUUGGGUGAUAUUUCCUAAAACAACUUCUAGAAAUACCUGUUUGUGUCGUCAACAUGCCAAUAACGAUUACAUUGCUAGUGCUCUACAUCAAGCUAAGAUAAUAUCAUUUUCUAACGCCACUGAUGUUGCCAGGUCGCUUUGCUGUGAUAACAUUCUGAGGGUUUCUUGUCUUGAACGAACAUGUACCCUAUGUUUUGAAAAAACUUUGGACUAUACGGUCAUCAAUGGGAAUGACACGAUUCUUUACCAAAGAUGGGUCACUAAGAAAGUGCCCCAAAUAAUUAAAGGCAAUGAAAAAUUAUGUCAAAAAACACUCAAAGAAUGCGUCAGAACUUCUCAUCAAUUACUUGUUAAUAAAUUUAAUAUAAGUUUGUCGACAUUUAUGCAACAUCUUGCAAAUAUAAUGAACCAAUACAAGGCUAUUCGAUAUAUUAAACAAAACUUAUCGCCAUCACAAAGUUUACUGCAUAUUGAUUUUUCAGAAAAUUAUUCCUGCAAAUAUGGAUCAGAAGUUCAGUCAGUCCACUUUGGUGGAUCCAAAUCACAACUCUCGUUACACACUUGCGUUUAUUAUUCUGUUGAUUCUCAGCCACCAACAAACCUUAUAAAAACAACAUCCAUUUGCACUGUCUCGGAGAACUUACGACACGAUCCUGUACUCAUUUGCGCCCACUUGAAGCCCGUAAUUGAAAAAAUUAAAUUGAUUACACCAGAUUUGACAGAGCUGCAUAUAUUAAGUGAUGGACCCGCUACUCAAUAUCGUAAUAAAACAAUGUUCCAUAUGUUAGCAAACUAUGUGAGCAAAAUUUCAAAUGUAGAAACUAUUGUGUGGCAUUUCAGUGAGGCUGGACAUGGCAAAAGUGCUCCUGAUAGCGUAGGUGGCUGUGUAAAACGCACAUGUGACAAGGCUGUUGCAAAUGGCCAAGACAUAUCAGGUAUUGACAGUUUUGUUGAUUGCGUAAAAGUCACCUGUAAAGGCAUUGACAUUAUUCGUAUUAAUAAUGAUGUAUCUGAUAUACAAAAAAUUGCCGAUGCUAACAAAGUACGCCCCUUCAAAGGGACCUUAAAAAUUCACCAGAUCACAUGGAGCUCAAAAUCUCCUAACAUUAUUCACUGCAGGCGACUAAGUUGCUUAUUGUGUGCACCUCACAUUAGGUGUACACAUUUUAAAAUUGGGCAAAUUCAGAUUGAAUAUAUUUCACGAGAUACAAAAGAAUCUUCGCCUACGAUAUCAUCAUCUAUUUUAUCAAGGACGGGUACCCCCAGACCAGUAUCUUCUAUUGAUACUGCAUCAGCGUCAACCGUCACUGGACCAAGAACACCAUCUCCGCUCGAAUCGUUUUUAAACACACCGUCUCCUGAAUUAACAACGAGAAUAGUCCGUCAACCGCUAACCCCACGGAAGCAAAAUAUAGUAUAUACUGACUCAGAUGACUCAGCAACCCCCAAAAAAUCCAGAUUCCAUACAUUCUUUGAUACCAGCGACACGGAGGACUCAAUUCCAUCCCCAAAAAAAGUUAAGUGUCAGUCGCUUUUUGAUUAUAGCGAUGAAGAAAAAUUUUAAAGUGUUUUUUAUUUUAAUAUUAAUAAAGUACUGUUUAUACAUAAGUAUAUUUUUUCAAUUUUGAUUCUUUUCUGUACGAGUCUGUCCCUUCUGUGGUCAAGAAAAAAAUUAAAAACCCUCUAUUUCAGCAAAACCUGAAAAACGAUCUCGUUUUAUAUUAUAAUUUAGAUACUAUGAUUAAUAACUAGUAAAUGAAACUGAUUUUGUAAAAAUACGAACGAUGUUUUUUUUUCCAAAAAUUUUACCUUGUUUUGUGUAUGACCCAUAUUCGAUAAAGACUGCAACUUUUUACGUGGACAGGCGUUUCACCUUCGGUGCUCAAGAAACUACGUGGGAGCAUUUCGGCCUUUGUCACAAUUAAAUUAUAUUUUGAUUAAAAGUUAACAAUGUGGUGUUAAAAAAAACUGACUUGAAGCUCUGGUGGACUUACCAAACUUUGAAGACAAAUAGGUAACUGUAGCUAAAACUAUUCCUAAACAUUAUACCUACUGUAGCAGAAAAAAUUGCGAAACCAAUGUAAUUCGAUUGAUUUCAUAAGUUUUGUACACUGAAGGUUUCUCUAGGGAUACAGAACAGGAAAAACGGGCCAUGCCUGAAAUCACCGACACUUGGAAAUAUAAAUUUAUUCAUUAUUGGCCUUUUUUGUUAUACUGUUUUGUUUUUUUUCUAUCUUUCUUCUAAAUGUACUUUUAUUCAAAAAGUAAUUAUAGUAAACUAUAAUGUGAUUGCUUAGAUAUUUAAAUCUUUAAAACAAUCAGUGGUAUGCAAUUAAUUUAGAUAGUGGUUUAAUUAUAAUUAUUUUCAUCAUCAUUUCAGAAUCAGACGUAGAUAAUAAUAUGCUACAUUUCUUUUCAUUGCUUUUGAAGAUAUUUUAGACGUGAUCACCGGUGCGAAAGCCAGGGCCAUUUUGACUAAGUAUUGUGUUGUCAUCGGUCCUCAAUAAGUAUACCAAAUUUCAAGUUAAUCCGACGUUUUGAAGAGGGUCAAAAUCAUGUUCAAAGAUUCCGUUAACAUACAUACGUCUGAAGCUAAUAAAAGCGUAUUAAAAAACCUCAUGUCGGUUAUAAACUUACACUUCAUCAAGCGGCAGAUUUAACGUUAAACUCCCUCGGACGUUUUCACCGAAUUGCAAAUAUCCAGUGAAGCCGACGAAGCCAUAGAGCACGACGACCGCACUCAUGGCGAUGUUCAAGACCCCUGGACAGCCGAGGAACUGCUGAGGCUUCAACAUUUCGUUCUCUAUCGGCAUCACUACGCCUAUGCCUUCCAUGGCGAACAGACUUGUACU